rnacentral:tRNA from 1 species
CAGGUUAUCUCGUCGGGCUCAUAACCCGGAGACCGGUGGUUCAAAUCCACCACCCGCUACCA